AUGCAUAGAUCUGGCUGUGACAUCUGUCACCCUGUUGAUUGUUGGGACUAAUUGCCCUGAUCUGGCUGACAGGGUGGGAGUCUCUGUGUCCCUGCCCCUGUUAUGAGCAUCCUUGCAGGAACCAUGUGCUCAGAGAAUGUCUUUUCCAGAGAACUAUUCUCCAGUCAAGGGUCUGAGGUGUUUCUUGUUACCACCUCCAAACAUCUGUGCGGCUGGAGAUGCAUGAGGCUAGCAGCUCUGGGAAAUCUAUACCCGGUCCACAGUAUUGUACACUAGGGGCCCAGUGCAUGAAAUUCGUG
ensembl:misc_RNA 7SK 7SK RNA